rnacentral:lncRNA from 1 species
CCAUCGUCUGAAUCAGAGUUUAUCUCCGUUGCAUCUAAAAGUUCUCCAGUGACUAUAGAAAGAAUCUCGAAUUGUUCAAUCUCUUUAGGCAUGAAAUAAUCUUGUCCAAUAAGAGGAACUAAUUGAGCUUCAUCCUUUGAAAAUUGAGAAUGCAUAUCAGGUUCAUUACCUUGGGGAUUUUCAUCAAGCACCUCGUCUACGACAAUUGCAUACUUGUCUCUAUCAACUAGACGAGCUUUGGGUUCAUGAAUUUUGGGGAUUUGAGUAAUGCAGACACAUAGGUCGAUGGUCGAACCAAUGUAGGGAAAUUGACGUAAUCAACAAAAGCUUGUGCAGUAUCUGUCAUUCUCGACGAAAUAGUGAAGGUCCGUUUUUGAAAAUGCAGAAAAAUUUCUCCUUGAAAUGGUUCCAAUCAUAGAAUUGGAACCAAUUGAACCACGCGAGGGCAUCGCCUUCAAGAUAGAAGGAAGGAAGAGGCAGCCAGUCCUUCUUGGAGAAGUCAAGGUAUGUGAAGUACAACUCAGCCAGAAAAAUCCAUCUCUCCGAGUUGCCGUCGCCACUGAAUCUAAGUAGAAACAUGUCGUUGUUGAAGUCCGAUAGAUAAAAGCACCAAUGUAACAAUACUGAAAGUCCUCACUAUAUUAAUAACGACUGGAACACUGAUUACAACUUUGAGAUAACAAUUGCAACUCUCAAACUACUGAAUUACAAUAGAAACUACUGAAGUAACAAGUAACUAAGGAUAGAGAUAAGAAAGGGAUGAGAAGCUAGACUCAGAAUUGGGGAUGAGAGGAUUCUGACAUUUUUUUCAACAAUAUUCGCAUAAACCCAAAUCACAGACCAUUGCCCCUUAUAAUAUAGAAGCAUUCUUACGCCUAUUACUCAACCUGGAUCCCAAAUUAACCUGGCCCUAUUGCUUGUACUUGGCCCAAUAGUUCUUUUUAAUCCAAUAACUACUUGUGUGAGAUUGUGCUGGUGUUGGUUCAUAACAUACUCUUUCCCGAAGUACUUGCUCUUUUAUCAAAGUUAAUUAGUGAUAUAUUAUAUUGUUUAAUAGAGAAUAUACCAUAAUAUGUUUAAUAGGUACCUGUGCUUUUGGAGAUAGCAUGUGUCCAAUAGAAUUAGUUGAGAUGCGCGCAAAGACACCGCUAUCAUAACAAAAAAAAGUAGUCAUUAGAAUGGGUAUUGUAGUGUCUUUGUCCAACUUUGAAUGGAUUGUCUAGAAGUCCAUAACAAUGACUUACUCUUCUACUUUUAUUUCCACUCGUUGAAGCAAUAAACCCCAAAAUACUAUUAUCACAAACGUAGAAUAAAUUGAAUCCUAUGCUUUCUUUUCUAAUUUCUAGUUGUAUCCAUUGAGUAGUUAUACAAACACUCACUUUGCACAAGAUUUACUGCAAAUUUUAUUUUCUCCCUAAAAGCGUCCCUUUUUGAUGGUCUAGAUUAGGUAACACAGAUAGGAAAGACGGGAUGGGGAAGGAUGGGGUAACAGGUUACUGGAACAACAUAUAGUAAUAAGAAAGGUAAACGGAAAAGGAAUGAUUUGCAAUAGAAAAUUCCAAAUUUAUGAAAAGCCUGGUUGUUUAGAAGCAUUUCUCUUAGCUGUUCUCCCAAAAAAGGUUCCAAUUUUAGGGCCCGCGAAGUUAACUUAAGGGGAGUAUCUUAUCAGUUGGUUGACUAUCUAAAUUUUUACCUUUUUGGUGAGCGUUUGAUUUCCCGCCUUGUAAUUAUCCCCUCCCUUUAAAUAAAUAUAUAAAAAAGAUGGUUAACUUGUGCAUUUUGCUUGUAUUCCUUGUCUAUGAAACUUGUGCAGUCAGACUGAACCCCUGUUUAAUUUGGAGGACAUGUGCUUGUGUUCUGUGUUAAUGGACGAGGUAGUUAUCCGUGUACUGUGCAAUGAUAGUUAAUUUGUCAAAGAGCACACACAGUUUACAACAUUUCAUAAAAUUUAUCAUUAUGCUGAGAAUUUUAUCCUUGGAUUUGACUCCACUUAAAAGGCGAUAUAGUCUUGGUUUUGAGCCAUUAAUUAACUAUAGCAGCAAGUAGCGUAGCUAUUUCUUAUUUUAUUUGUAACAGGUAGAGAGGGCAGAGAAAAGGAAUGUAGAAUAGCAGCAUAAACUUUUGGGAGUGCUCUUAAUAUAAGUUAAUAGUUUUCAAAACACAAUAAUUGUUCCUCCUGAUAUGAUGCACACUAACUAAUGUUUUUCCUAUUUGACUUGGAGCGAGAAAUGAUCCAUAGUUCCUAACAACAAUACUUCUGAGUGGAAGAAGCUCUAAAAUGACAUUUAUUGAUCUACUAGUUGCUUCACAAACCUGAUGGUUCUGAGGAUAAUGAUAAUGUUUGUAGCUUCAAUGAGGUUGAAGAGGCUAAGUCAAUUCUUAGAUUGAGAGAAAAAGCCCAAAACCAUGCAUUAUCUUUAGCUUUAGACUCAAAGUCAUACAUAUUUUUUCACAUGAAGCACUAAUAGUCCAUUUACUUUAACAAAGUAGUGCACUUUUAGUCAUAACACUGAGAAAAAAAACCCAAAACCAUACAUUAUCUUUGGAUUUAGACUCAAAGUCAUACAUAUUCUUCCACAUGGAGCACUAAUAGUCCAUUUACUUUAACAAAGUGGUGCAUUUUUAGUCAUAACACUAAACAUAUUUUUAUUUUUAACAAAAAUCUAAGAUCUGACAAAAUAUAUGUUCCAUUUAUUUUUUUGUUUAUCGAAAGAAAAAAAGAUGGCAGAUUUAUCUAGAUAGUAAAUAACAAAUAUACAUAAAAUUUACUUACUAUUUAAAUAUUUACUAUUUACUUACUAUACGUAAAAUGUACAUUUACUAAGAAAUGUUAAACACCGUUAAUUUUUAUUUGCAAUGAUUAUUAUCUAGAUAACCUCAAAUGUUAUCUAGAUUUCUUUAUUAUAUACAUAAAAUUUAUUUUAUUUUAUGUAUAUUUACUCGUAAUAANNNNNNNNNNNNNNNNNNNNNNNNNUAUUUACUAUACGUUGACUCCUUUUAAAAUAAAAAUCAAAUAAAUAUUUAUUUAUUUUAUGUCAACAUAUAGUAAAUUUUAUGUAUAUAAUAAAAAAAUCUAGAUAACAUUUGAGGUUAUCUAGAUAACAAUCAUGGCAAAUAAAAAUUAACGGUGUUUAACAUUUCUUAGUAAAUGUAUAUUUUACGCAUAGUAAAUAAAUAAUAAAUCGAUAAAUAGUAAGUAAAUUUUAUGUAUAUUUAUUAUUUACUAUCUAGAUAAAUCUGUCAUCUUUCUUUCUUUCGGUAAACAAGAAAAUAAAUUGAACAUAUAUUUUGUCAGAUCUUAGAUUUCUGUUAAAAAUUAAAAUAUAUUUAGUGUUAUGACUAAAAGUGCACCACUUUGUUAAAGUAAAUGGACUAUUAGUGCUCCAUAUGGAAGAAUAUGUAUGACUUUGAGUCUAGAGCCAAAGAUAAUGUAUGGUUUUGGACUUUUUCUCAGUGUUAUGACUAAAAGUGCACCACUUUGUUAAAGUAAAUGGACUAUUAGUGCUUCAUGUGAAAGAAUAUGUAUGACUUUGUGUCUAAAGCCAAAGAUAAUGUAUGGUUUUAGGCUUUUUCUCCUUAGAUUGAUCCCAAUUUGAAGUACAUGUUUGGUGUAUGCCAUUGUGUCUUUGCAGACAUCUUUGUUUGUACGCCCCUUACCGUUCUCGCUCAGUCGGUCUAUUGGUUCAAACUUUAAGAUAUCACCUGCUUCUUUGCAACAUUUUAUUGCCAUCUCUAUAGUUCCUUAUUCCUAUGUAUGACUAUUUUGGUUCCUCUAGCAAGAGUUGUGACUAGGAAACCUUCGGGCAUCACAAUGCUUCAAAGAAUUGGAACGGGAAUUUGCGUGUCUAUAUUGUUGGGAAGCGUAUCGAACUAAAUGAAGGAUAUAAUAAUUUCAAGAAAAAAAUAAUAAAAACUCGCAAAAUAAGACAAGAAGAGAUUUAUGUGGUUCGAUAAUUUUUGCCUACUUCAUGGCCACACAGAGAAUAUUUUAUUACUCUGAAGAGAAAAAAAAAAUUUGAGGGAUGAUUUACAAUUGAGGAAAGGGAUGCCUAUUUACAGAUAAAUAUCAGAAUAUGAACACUAUUUCUUUUCUUGCAUUCACACAUUUUCUUCUUUCCUCACAUCGUGGAUUUUGCUGUUGUUGACUUUUGAUGCAGCAUACAUUUCCUUCUUUGCCUUUUGCAUAUUGUUCUCUUUCUUCAUUAAGUAUUUCUUUGACUUUUUUUUUCUUUCUUUCACUAUUUAUUUUACAUCUAGGUUUGUUCCUUUCAAUCUCCCCACAAACUCAUAUACAUCAAAAGAAAUAUUACAUGUCUCUGUGUGGCGCCUUCACAUUAUUAAUUUUUAAGGCCAACUGAGGCAAUACAUAGAUCAACACAAACAUGUCUGACGGGUUCUUCGAUCCUGGUAUCUUCAUCAGGGACAGAGUUCUAUCUUCUAUCAACAAUUGGAUAUGAUGAUACCUCAGCUGGAUGUGUUUUGAUCUUGUAUAAAACACUAGAUUUUUGUUAAAAUGAAUUUCACUUUGGCUGUCACUGAAGAGUUCACAAUCGUCCUGCUUCUUGCCUAACUCUUCCAGAAAGUUCUUAAGCCAUAUCAUCUCUUUUGCAACUUCUGAGUUCGCCAUGUACUCUACUUCAGUUGUAGAUAGAGCAACACUUUUCUUAAGCCUGGACAUCAAACUAACAGUUGUACCAUCCAAAGUGAACACAUAGCCUGUAGUACUUUUUCGACUAUCCAGAUCACCACCUAGGUUUGCAUCAGAAAACCCUUGUAAAAUAAUACUACUCUUUCUGAAGCAAAGUGUCAUACCUGAAGUACCUUUGAAGUAUCGGAAGAUCCAUUUAACUCAUUCUCAAUGUUCCUUUCUAGGAUUUGACAUGUAACGACUAACAUCUGCAUAGGCUAUGUCAGUUCUGGUACACACCACAUACAUUAAGCUUCCUACUGCUGAAAUGUAACGACCCAGCCGGUUGUUUUGAGUAUUUUAGCCCUGAUCCCCUAUUUAUUGCCUCCUCUAUAUUGUAUUAUGGUUAUGUGACUUGCCUGGGGUGUUUGGUUUUGGUUCAAGUGAGUUUCAGAGUGAAAUGGGACACAUAGUCCCUAAGUUGAAUGCUUAAGUUGAAAGGUUGACUGUAGUUUGACUUUUGUGUAGACGACUCCAGAAUGAAGCUUUGACGGUUUCAAUAGCCCUGUAUAUUGAUUUUGUACUUAGGAGCGUGCUCGGAUGUUGACUUGGAGGUCCGUAGGUCAUUUCAGCUUGAAUUGGAGAAAGUUAGAAAGUUUAGAUUUGGAAGGUUAAAAAGUUUAAUCGGGAGUUGACUUUAUUAAUAUCAGGGGUAGGAUUUCGAUUCCGAAAGUUAGAAUAGGUCCAUAAUAUCAUUUAUGACUUGAGUGCAAAAUUUGAAGUCAAUCGUAGUUGUUUUGGUAUGAAUCGACAUUAGUUUUGGAAUUCGGAAGUUCAUAGUUUCAAUAGUCUUGAAUUGGGUUGCGAUUCAUAGAAUCGAUGUUGUUUGAUGUGAUUUUGGCCUCGAGUAGAUUCGUUAUGUGUUUUGGAACCUGUUGGUAUAUUCGGAGGGGGUCCCGGGGGCCCCGGGUGUGAUUCGGAUUGAAUCCGGAACAAAUUUGGACUUAGUCUUUUUGCUGAAGUUUUGGCCCUUCUAGUGUCAUCGCACCUGCGGAGGGAUUGGUCGUUGGUAAGGACUCGCGUGUGCGAGUGGUGAAGCGCAGAAGAGGAGAGGGUAAGCCCAGGUCUGGGCUCGUAUGUGCGAACACCUGGGCGCAGGUGCGCCUCCGCAGGAGCGGACCUUGCUUUUGCAGAAGCGGAAUUUGGGAGAGGCCUUAGGCAAGACCGUAGGUGCAGUCAUUUUCUCCGCAGAAGCGGGCACACUGGUGCAAGCUAGUGGUCCGCAGGAGCGGAAUGUUAAGACCUAAGUGGGAACCGCACCUGCGAUGGAUUUUCCGCAGAUACGAUUGUGUGAGCGCAGAUGCGGAAUCACUAGGCAUAAAAGUCCUAGUUCGAGGUUUUGAAUUCAUUAUCCAUUUUUGGACCUAGAGAUCUCGAUUUGUGGCGAUUUGUCGAGAGAUUAUCAAGAAAUUCAUUAGGGUAAGUGAUUCUAACUCGAUUUUGGUUAUAUUACACGAAUCCAUUAUUAUGUUCAUUAUUUAAUUAGUGAUUUGAGUUGGAAACUUGGGGAAAAAUUGUGAAAACUUCUUAGGCUAAAUUUUGGGAAUUUAAAAGGCGAUUUGAGGUUGGAUUUGAGUAAUUCUUGUAUGAUUUGACUCGUUAUCGAAUGGGUGUUCGAAUUUUAUAAUUUUGGUCGGGUUCCGAGACACGGGCCCGAGUUGACUUUUUCCUUUUUUGUAAAGAUCAUAACUUUAUUGUUCGAAAUAGUUUUCUAUAGUUUAUAUUUAUGGUAUAUAGUUGUUUUUGGCUAAAUUCAAGCUGUUCAGAGUUGGAUAAUCGAGGAAAAGGCUUACUAGUGGAUUGAGUUAGCGUGUUUUGAGGUAAGUGUCUUGCCUAACUUUGUGUAGGAUAAUUACCCCUUAGGAUUGGUGUUGGUUUGCGUUAAUUGUGAUAUGUGAAAGCCGUAUACGCAAGGUGAUGAGUGUGUACACGGGCUAAAUAUGGGAAUUUACUAGUUUUAGAUAUGUAGAUUCCUUUCAUGCCUUAAUUGAGUUAUCUUAACAUGUUAUAAUCAUCAUCAUUAGUCUUUCUUCAUAUGUUCUACUUAUCGUAUCUCUUACUUGUUAAUUGCCUUUACAUGUUUAGUUAAAGUAUUGUUUCCUCUAUUCCCUAUUUAUUAUUUAACCAUUGAGUUCUUUACCUGAAGUUGUUAUUUUUGAAAUAUCUUGUUGUUGAAAUUGGUAUUGAGUUAUAAAGGUCGUGAUCUACGUUGAAGCAAAGUUGUAAAAUUGUGAAAUACUAUUCGUGUUGAGUUAUUCACUCCCGAUUAUUAUUGUGAGACGCUUGUGCAUAUUAUGGUUGAGCCAUGGGCUAUUUAUUGUAAAAACAGAAUUGUUGUUGGUUUCUUAGCAAGUUGUGAUAUUGGGCACUUGAUGUACAAUUUGUGAAACAUUGUAAUAUUGAUACGCAUGCGGUGGUAUAAACGUUUGGGGUUGAAAUGCAUGCGGUGAGAUAAGGUGGGCUUGAUAUGCGUGUUUCUAGUAGGGGAACUACUUGAAGCCACGCGGUAUGAUAAGGUGGGCUAAAAUGCGGGAAGCUAUUUCGGAAAAAGUAAUUUUUAAAACUAAAUGCAAGGCUCCCGCGGUGAUAUAAGAAAAGAUUGUGAAUUGUUUUGUUAUUUGAGACUACGAGGCGGCACCUCGGUAGUAAUUCUUGUUGAUACUUUUCUAUUUCUUCACUUGUGUUUUGUUGCUUUGUUCCGUAUCAUAGCAUUUCUUGUUUUCUUCCGUGAUGCAUUAUUUGUCUUAGUUCAGUGUAGCUAUUCUCAGUGUAUUUAUUUAUUGUCUCAUUUCUAUUGUUAUCAUUAUUACGUUGUUAUAUACCUUUUCAGUUUCUUAUUUAUUCCAGUAGGGCCUUGACCUGAUCUCGAUACUACUUUACUGAGGUUAGGCUUGGCACUUACUAGGUACCGUUGUGGUGUACUCAUGUUGCGCUUCUACACAUAUUUUGUGCAGAUCCAGGUACCUCCUACUAGUCCAGGCACCAGUGAGACGAGCCAGUUUCGGAGACUUCAAGGUAUGCAAGCCGGCGUCCGCAGGCCUCGGAGUCACCCUUUAUCUAGUCUAUUUCAUUUUUUUUAUCCUUUUAUAGACACUGAUGUAUAGGGAUGUAUAGUACCAUCUUAUAGAGCUUGUGACUUAUAUUCGCCGGAUUUUGAGAAGUUGUAUUCUGUUGAGUUACGGAGUUUCUUUAUAUGAUAGUGGUUGAGUUAUUUGAA